GGGGAGCCUAUACAGGUGUUGCAUGGCUGUCGUCAGCUCGUGUCGUGAGAUGUUCGGUUAAGUCCGCUAACGAGCGCAACCCUCGUCGUAUGUUAUAUGUGUCAUACGAGACUGCCGGUAAAAAGCCGGAGGAAGGUGAGGAUGAUGUCAAGUCAGCAUGACCUUUAUAUCCAGGGCUACACACACGCUACAAUGGUCUGUACAAUGGGUAGCCAAGCCGCGAGGCGGAGCCAAUCCUGAAAGCAGGCCUCAGUUCAGAUUGCAGUCUGCAACUCGACUGCAUGAAGCCGGAGUUGCUAGUAACCGCAGGUCAGCAAUACUGCGGUGAAUACGUUCCCGGGUCUU
rnacentral:rRNA from 1 species